GUAGAGAUGUAUUAUCCAUGAUGCAACAGUUCGUGAGUAGCUAGAAGAGAGGGACAAUUUAUGGGAAUCUGUAGUGAUUUUAAGUAAAUUAUCUCCAAUUCUAUCCAGUCUCGUAAUGGUCCAGUAGAUUUAUGAAGACGAGAGGUACUGAAACCCUACUAUGCCUUGUACGUACAUUUGCACUACUAACUAGAAAAUUAUUUGCAAAAUGCAUCGCAUUUGCCUUAUAUUAUAUACGGAUAUUGGUAUAGUGCAGUAAACGAUUAGUUGGCUAUGCAUUGCU